rnacentral:rRNA from 1 species
UACGUAGGGGGCGAGCGUUAUCCGGAUUUAUUGGGCGUAAAGCGCACGCAGGCGGUCGUGCAAGUUCGGGGUGAAAGCUCCCGGCUUAACCGGGAGAGGGCCGCGAAGACUGUGCGACUAGAGUGCAGAAGGGGCAACUGGAAUUCUCGGUGUAGCGGUGAAAUGCGUAGAUAUCGAGAGGAACACCUGCGGCGAAGGCGGGUUGCUGGGCCGACACUGACGCUGAGGCGCGAAAGCUAGGGGAGCGAACGGG